CCAUAUGGUGUAGGUUCUAUAGGUAAAGGUCCAUAUGGUGUAGGUUCCGUAGGUGUAGGUACAUAGGUGUAGGUAUAUAUGGUAUAGGUUCCAUAGGUGUAAGCACAUAGGUGUAGGUAUAUAUGGUAUAGGUUCCAUAGGUGUAGGUACAUAGAUGUAGGUAUAUAUGGUAUAGGUUCCAUAGGUGUAGGUUCCAUAUGGUGUAGGUUCAUGUGGUGAAGGUCCAUGUGGUGUGGGU